rnacentral:rRNA from 1 species
UACAGAGGGUGCGAACGUUGCUCGGAAUCACUGGGCGUAAAGCGCGUGUAGGCUGACAGGCAAGUCAGGUGUGAAAUCCCUGAGCUCAACUCAGGAACUGCAUCUGAAACUGCCUGUCUGGAGUGUCGGAGAGGGAAGCGGAAUUCCGGGUGUAGAGGUGAAAUUCGUAGAUAUCCGGAGGAACACCAGUGGCGAAGGCGGCUUCCUGGACGAUUACUGACGCUGAGACGCGAAAGCGUGGGGAGCAAAC